GAUAAACGCUGGCGGCGUGCCUAAAACAUGCAAGUCGAACGAGGGAGCAAUCCCGAGUGGCGAACGGCUGAGGAACGCGUGGGUGACCUACCGGACAGAGGGGGAUAACGGGCCGAAAGGCUCGCUAAGACCGCAUGAGCUCCUGGUGUCGGAACUGGGAGGAAAGCCUGAAAGGGUGCUGACUGAGGGGCCCGCGUCCGAUUAGCUGGUUGGUGGGGUGACGGCCUACCAAGGCGACGAUCGGUAGCUGGUCUGAGAGGAUGAUCAGCCAGACUGGGACUGAGAGACGGCCCAGACUCCUACGGGAGGCAGCAGUUAGGAAUUUUGGGCAAUGGGCGAAAGCCUGACCCAGCAACGCCGCGUGGGGGAUGAAGGCCUUCGGGUUGUAAACCCCUUUUCCCGGGGACGAUCGUGACGGUACCUGGGGAAGAAGUCCCGGCUAACUACGUGCCAGCCGCCGCCGUAACAC
rnacentral:rRNA from 1 species